rnacentral:rRNA from 1 species
AAGAGUUUGAUCAUGGCUCAGGAUGAACGCUGGCGGCGUGGAUAAGGCAUGCAAGUUGAAAGGGUUUAGACCCUUGGCAAACGGGUUCGGAACGCGUAGGAACGUACCCUCGAGUCGUGGAUAAUCUGGAGAGAUCCAGGCUAAUACACGAUAUGCUCUACGGAGUAAAGAUUUAUCGCUCGGGGAGCGGCCUGCGUCCUAUCAGCUAGUUGGUGGGGUAAUAGCCUACCAAGGCAAUGACGGGUAGGGGGUGUGAGAGCAUGGCCCCCAACACUGGGACUGAGACACUGCCCAGACACCUACGGGUGGCUGCAGUCGAGAAUAUUCCACAAUGGACGAAAGUCUGAUGGAGCGACGCCGCGUGCAGGAAGAAGGUAUUCGUAUUGUAAACUGCUUUUCUCAGGGAAGAAUUUCGAUGACUGUACCUGAGGAAUAAGAGGUUACUAACUCUGUGCCAGCAGUAGCGGUAAUACAGAGACCUCAAGCGUUAUCCGGAUUUAUUGGGCGUAAAGGGUAGGUAGGCGGGUGUAUUAGUCGGGUGUCAAAUCCCUCGGCUCAACCGAGGAUCGGCAUUCGAAACGGUACGCCUAGAGAGUGUGAGAGAUCAGUGGAAUUCAUGGUGUAGUAGUGAAAUGCGUUGAUAUCAUGAGGAACACCCAAGGCGUAGGCAACUGAUUGGCACAUUUCUGACGCUGAGCUACGAAAGCGUGGGGAGCGAAUGGGAUUAGAUACCCCAGUAGUCCACGCCCUAAACGAUGCAUACUAGGUGUGGGAGGAAUCGACCCCUUCCGUGCCGAAGCUAACGCGUUAAGUAUGCCGCCUGGGAAGUACGAGCGCAAGCUUAAAACUCAAAGGAAUAGACGGGGAUCCGCACAAGCGGUGGAGCAUGUGGUUUAAUUCGAUAGUAAACGAGGAACCUUACCAGGGCUUGAAAUCUACCUGCAAAGUCUAGAAAUAGACCUUCCUUCGAGGGUGGUAGACCAGGUGCUGCAUGGUUGUCGUCAGCUCGUGUCGUAAGAUGUUCCGUUCAGUCGGGAAACGAGCGCAACCCCCGUGAAGUGUUAUACAUGUCACUUCAGACUGCCCAGCCCUUUGCGCGUAGCGCAAAGGGAAGCGUCAAUUUGGAACUCCCUUUGUUUGUCUGCGAACAAAGGGCUGGGAGGAAGGCGGGGAUGACGUCAAAUCAGCAUGGCCCUCUGACGCCCUGGGCCACACACGUGCUACAAUGGCGAGGAACAAAGGGUUGCCAAGUCGCGAGACGGAGCUAAUCCCAUAAAACUCGCCUCAGUUCGGAUUGAAGGCUGCAACUCGCCUUCAUGAAGCCGGAAUCGCUAGUAAUCGUGAAUCAGCCACGUCACGGUGAAUACGUUCUCGGAUCUUGUACUCACCGCCCGUCACACCAAGAGAGCUGGCAACACCAGAAGGCCCUGUGUCAAAUCGGGGACGACGGUGGGGUUAGUGAUAAGGGUGAAGUCGUAACAAGGUAGCCGUA